UUCAGCUUUCAGAACAUUUUCAACACAACCACUUUUGUUGAUCUCGCAAUAAACCUGUGAGAUAAGUAGGGCAGAUGAGGAAAUGAAUUCCAGGCAACCGAAGAGACUUGCAUGAGGUCAUUCAGCAAGCAGGUGACAGAGUUGGGACAUGAACCCAGGUCUCUUGCCUCCAGCCCUAGGCUCUUCCCACUACAGCACCUUGUUUGAAGCUG
rnacentral:lncRNA from 1 species